UAUGAUUAAUCUCAUAGUGUCUACAACUGAAUACAUAGGUUGUAUGAUGGGAACCCGGGGAACUGAAACAUCUUAGUACCCGGAGGAAAAGAAAACGAAUGUGAUUCUGUCAGUAGCGGCGAGCGAAAGCGGAACAGGCCAAACCGGUCUACGGGCCGGGGUUGUAGGACUCUAGUUAGAGUUACAAAGUUAGUAUAUAGCAGAAACUGUUGGGAAGCAGUGGCGUAGAGGGUGAUACCCCCGUAUGCGAAAUAUACUAACCUCGAAAGAGUAUCCUGAGUACGGCGGGGCACGUGGAACCCUGUCGGAAUCUACCCAGACCACUGGGUAAGCCUAAAUACUACCAUUUUACCGAUAGUGAACCAGUACCGUGAGGGAAAGGUGAAAAGUACCCCGAGAGGGGAGUGAAAUAGUUCCUGAAACCAUAUGCUUACAAGAAGUCAGAGCCCGUUAAUGGGUGAUGGCGUGCUUUUUGUAGAAAGAGCCGGCGAGUUACGAUAUCAUGCAAGGUUAAGCGGAAUCCGCGGAGCCGUAGUGAAAGCGAGCCUUAAUAGGGCGUUCAGUAUGAUGUCGUAGACACGAAACCGGGUGAUCUAGCCAUGAGCAGGUUGAAGUUAGGGUAAAACCUAAUGGAGGACCGAACCAAACGUUCGUUGAAAAGACCGUGGAUGACUUGUGGCUAGGGGUGAAAUUCCAAUCGAACCCGGAGAUAGCUAGUUCUCCCCGAUAUAUCUUUAAGGAUAGCGUCGAGGUUUAGAAUUAUGGAGGUAGAGCUCUGAAUGUAUGAUGGCCCCACCUAGGGGUACUGAAUGCAAUUAAACUGCGAAUGCCAUAAUUUCAUACUCGGCAGUCAGAACAUGGGUGAUAAGGUCCAUGCUCGUGAGGGAAACAGCCCAGAUCUACAACUAAGGUCCCUAAAUAUCCGCUAAGUGUGUAAGGAUGUGAAGGUGCACAGACAGCUAGGAUGUUGGCUCAGAAGCAGCCAUCAUUUAAAGAGUGCGUAACAGCUCACUAGUCGAGUGCCUUCGCGCCGAAAAUGUACCGGGGCUUAAGCGGAUUACCGAAGUUUAGGAUUUACAGAAAUGUAAGUGGUAGGGGAGCGUUCUAAUAGCAAUGAAGUCAGACUGUGAGGACUGGUGGAGCGAUUAGAAGUGAUUAUGCCGGCAUGAGUAACGUUUGGAGGUGAGAAUCCUCCAUGCCGUUUGACCAAGGUUUCCUGGGCAAGGUUCGUCCACCCAGGGUUAGUCAGGACCUAAGGCGAGGCCGAAAGGCGUAGUCGAUGGAUAACAGGUUGAUAUUCCUGUACCACCUAAUAAA
rnacentral:rRNA from 1 species